rnacentral:rRNA from 1 species
UACGUAGGUGGCAAGCGUUGUCCGGAAUUAUUGGGCGUAAAGCGCGCGCAGGCGGUCCUUUAAGUCUGAUGUGAAAGCCCUCGGCUCAACCGAGGAGGGUCAUUGGAAACUGGAGGACUUGAGUGCAGAAGAGGAGAGUGGAAUUCCUGGUGUAGCGGUGAAAUGCGCAGAUAUCAGGAGGAACACCCGUGGCGAAAGCGGCUCUCUGGGACGGUACUGACGCUGAGACGCGAAAGCGUGGGGAGCAAACAGG